rnacentral:rRNA from 1 species
GACGAACGCUGGCGGCGCGCUUAACAAAUGCAAGUCGAGCGAUGAAACUUUAACAGAACCCUUCGGGGCGAAGAUAAAGUGGAUUAGCGGCGGACGGGUGAGUAACACGUGAGUAACCUGCCUUAGACAUUGGGAUAGCCUCGGGAAACCGGGAUUAAUACCAAAAAAAAUCAUAAUGACACAUGUCAUAAAGAUCAAAACUCCGGUGGUUUAAGAUGGACUCGCGUCCCAUUAGCCCUCUGGUAGAGUAAAAGCCGACCAAGGCGACGAAGGGGAGCCGGGCUGGACGGGUGAACCGCCCUAGUGGAACUGACGACCGUUCCCCAAUUCUGCCGGAAGCAGGCUGCUGGAAUAUUGCACAAGGGAGUGAGCUCUGAUGCAGCGACGCCGCGUGAACGAAGUAGUCUUUCUAGUCGUAAAGUUCUUCUAUAUGGGAAGAUAAUGACGGUACCUUAAGAAAUAGCCCCGGCUAACUACGUG